UGAGGGAAUAUUUGGGGUCAAUGGGCGAGAGCCUGAACCAGCCAAGUAGCGUGCAGGACGACGGCCCUAUGGGUUGUAAACUGCUUUUAUACGGGAAUAAAGUGAUGCCUGCGGGCGUUAUUGCAUGUACCGUACGAAUAAGGACCGGCUAAUUCCGUGCCAGCAGCCGCGGUAAUACGGAAGGUCCGGGCGUUAUCCGGAUUUAUUGGGUUUAAAGGGAGCGUAGGCCGGAGAUUAAGCGUGUUGUGAAAUGUAGUGGCUCAACCUCUGCACUGCAGCGCGAACUGGUCUUCUUGAGUACGCACAACGUGGGCGGAAUUCGUGGUGUAGCGGUGAAAUGCUUAGAUAUCACGAAGAACUCCGAUUGCGAAGGCAGCUCACGGGAGCGCAACUGACGCUGAGCUCGAAAGUGCGGGUA
rnacentral:rRNA from 1 species